GUCCAGUUAGCCUAAUAGACAUGGCAUCUUUUCGGUAAGCAGAACACUGUGGGUUCGAUUCCCAUACCGGACA